rnacentral:rRNA from 1 species
UACGUAGGGGGCAAGCGUUGUCCGGAAUUACUGGGCGUAAAGCGUGCGCAGGCGGUUUCGUAAGACAGAGGUGAAAUCCCCGGGCUCAACCUGGGAACUGCCUUUGUGACUGCGAAGCUAGAGUACGGCAGAGGGGGGUGGAAUUCCACGUGUAGCAGUGAAAUGCGUAGAGAUGUGGAGGAACACCAAUGGCGAAGGCAGCCCCCUGGGUCGAUACUGACGCUCAUGCACGAAAGCGUGGGUAGCAAACAGGAUUAGAUACCCUAGUAGU